rnacentral:misc_RNA from 1 species
CUACCUUGUUUACUGGAUUUCCAUUAGUUUGUCAUUUCUAAAUGAUGCCAUCUAUUAUAUAUAUCUAAAGUGUGAUUGAUUUUAUAUCUUUCCCAUAUUUGGUUGCUACCAGUUCUCAUUUAAUGAUCUUUUGCCUUACAAGAAAGAAUGGUGCAUUCUGGAGCAAAGCCUUGAGUCCCUUCCAAAGAUAUUGGUGUAGGAUGUGGUUAUCACAUUCCUUCUUUGUGGCUUCAAAUUGUUAGGGUUAGCUCUUUUAUGGAAGAACUAAGAAGAAGCAGAAGAAAAUAGAGAGAAAUAGAGGAAGAAAAAAAAGAGAUAGGAAAAAGAGAAACAGAGAAAUAUUGAGAGAAUGAACAGAAUUUUGUUAUUUUCUUGAAUGCCUUUCUCCCAGCUACUGAGCUGUUAUUUAUACAGCUUAUUGUUUCAGUUAUAAUUGUUCCUGCCAACCUCACUUCUUUUUAAGAACUCCAGCUCAUCCAUCUAACUGUUCCUGUACACCUUAGCUGCACUACUAACACUUUGCGCUAUUACAGUUCUUUUCCUUCACUUCUUCUUGAACCUCAUUCUCUGGUAUGUGACAUUGAUGUUGUCAUUUGAUUAUUCUGUUGGUGUU